CUUUAGUGGAGCCAUGUUUAAAAGCUGGUAAGUCCUACUUUAACAUUCAUAAGCUGUUGUUUACCGUGCUUGAUACGAUUUGCAGAGCAUAGCAUGUUUACUGUCAUCACUGAAAACAGUGCUGUUUUCAACACUUUUUGGACUGCUAAUGAUUUCAUGCUAAUGCCAACUGAGCUGCCAACCUAGGCUGUGCUUUGAGGCAUCAUAAGCACAUUCCCGACACCAGGAACUGACUUCCCAAAGACAUUUCAUG
rnacentral:lncRNA from 1 species